UUUUUUCGUUUGUAUCUUCCUCUCUUCUCUUUAAUCUUGUCUCUUCUCCUCCAUAAAGAAGACAAAGAAGCUUCCUCCAUGGCGCCUGCCAAGGUCACCGUAGCUUUUGCACACGCCUCACCCAGCCAACGAGAACGUCGUCACGUCAGAGAACGUCUCCGUCUUCCUCGUUCCAGAGAGCGUCGCCGUCUUCCUCAUUUUUCAUCAUCGUCGUCAGCCUCUCCCUUCCGGGAGUUUCACCAAAUUCGAAAUCACAAGUGAAAGCUGUGUGCAAUCAGAUUUGUAAUGCUCAACAGGCACCAAGUUUGCAACCUUUGUCUUUUGAACAUGUUCAUUCAAAAGAAGCUAACAUAUUGGCUAUUUUAGAGUUGACUCGUGCUCUUGACAAGAAGGUACUACCUGCAGCAAUCUCUGUUUCCCAUUUUUGGUGUAACCAAAAUAAGAAGAAACUAUAUGCCUUUGUCAUGGCCUUCUUUUAAGGUUAGUUUUAAGCUGAUAAUUUGAAUAUUCAGGAACUUGUGAUUAAAGUUAGUUUAGUUUCAUUGCCUUAACUUUCGAUUAAAUCUUGUGUUGCAAAUUGAUGAUGGCUUUUAACUCAUUCUUACUUUGAUCCCAGCCCCCUAUGCUACUUCUACUACAUGCCACCCUUUUCUUCUUUAUGAGAAGAGAAAAAACAAAGAUCUGCUGCAGGAGUGCAAUUUGCAGAUUGUGAAUGUCACAACUCCUGCUAACUUCUUUCAUGUUUUGCAGAGAGAGGAUGUUGCAAUAUGCUAAGGUUUGGUGAACUACAGGUGUCCUUUGGAAUUGAGCUUCUGUGUGGAAUCAAUGCUGCCUUACCAUACGGCCACUGCAUCAGCACUAAUGACUUCCAUGCUUGCUGUCUCUCGCCGCAGUUAUGGUUAGCUCUCGGAAGGUAUCUUAUCUUACUCUAAAGCAGUUGCUUCUUUAGUUAUUAUGAAGAGGUUCAAUUGAUUUUAUUAAAAUGGCUUUGGUUCAGUGGCAUUGUUUUUGGGAGAUAUCUCUUGUCACAUUAUAUUGUAGGUAGCACUCCAUGCAUUUAAUGUGCAUAUUCUGUUUCAGUAACUGUGUUCUUUUGCAAAUGGCCUACAAAACGUUGUUAAUUCCCCGUUUUAUUAGAAUUUUUAGUAUUGAUGCUCAUGCCAUAUGGUUGGAAGAUGUGAUAUGAGAUUUUGAAAGAGUAUGAGAAAGACUUUUGAAGAUAUUUGCAGUUUAUAUUUGAGGAAAAGAGUAUUGUGUAAUGUGGUUCUCCUCUUUGGGUCACCUGGUUUGUGCUCAUUUUAAUUGCCUGACAGUUGGAUUUUACUUUUGAAUUAGGUAGAUAAACAUCUGUGUCAUUCCUUAUGUUCUUUCUUCAAUUUGAUUUUCCGGUAAGUGAGUGUUUCUUAUUAAUUCUCUGGUUCAACUUAAUAGGUUCUUGUGAAAUUUAGUGAAAAAAACUGUGUCUAAUGCUUGAUUAGGUGUUUCUCGAUCUAUUAAUUCUGUAUCUAGGAUAUUUAUAGGGCGAUCUAGGAACAUAGCGAAUCGCAAGCUUGGCCGCAGAGGAUCUCAUCUCUCAAAACUGAGCACUACUGUUAUCAGAGAAACUCCACAAAAAUCAAGUUCAAGAGUCCACAAUUGUGGAACACUGUACAGGCCAACUCUGCUGAAGGAAGAAGUGGCAGUCAUGAAUUAAGUUUUUUUUUUUUAAUUAUUUUUCUUUGUUAGUUCUAGAAUUAGACCGCUAUAUAGAUGAUGCUUAAGUAGCAAGUUCCUUUAUUACUAAAUUUCAUAUGGGGUAUUCGACCUCUUUUCUUUUGAAAUUUCAAAACAUUUCAACCAUAUAAAAUGUAUCAUUCUUUGUAGGUCAAAUAUCUCAGUUUUAUUCGAUGGUUACACUUAAAUUAUCCAA